rnacentral:pre_miRNA from 1 species
UUGGGAUGUCAAGGGCGUGGUAGCGUUUUUAGACGAGGGCGAACUGAUGUGUGGUCGUGUGUGUCUAUUCUGUUCGUCCUCGCCUAAAAGCGCUACCAUGCCCUUGACAUCUCGAAU